GGAAGAGAGAGGCCAGGUGUUGCAACAUUUAGCUUCUAGUUUCAGCUCUGCUACAAACUAACAAACCAUUUUGACCAACUUCCUUAAACUCUCUGGACUUCAGUUUCCUCAUCUGAAAAAUGAGAGUGAUGGCCUGAAUUCCUUUCAAAUCCGCCAGCCCCGUUACUUUCUUCCCCCUGUUGAAACACCUAUGGAAGCUACUGUUCUCUUAUUGUCUUUGGUGGAUACGAAGACUUCUGUAUUGCAAGAGUACCAUCUCCAACCUAAAUGACCUCUCAAGAAAACGAAAUCUUGAAUCAUUUCCACCUGAUAUGGAAACAGUUUCAACAGGUAAAGCAACUCUGCCUAUGGGAUGGGGAUCAAGGAGAACACUUUACCUGACAGCUGUUUGCCUCCUUACCUCAUCUCUGCACAAUGGAGAGAAUCCUGCUUUGGCCUCAGCGCUGCUGUCCCCCUGCCUCUGCCCAGGUCAUUGGCGAGGCUCUCCGCCUAAGUCUGAGUGCACAUAAUGGGUGAAGACUGAGAGCAGAACAAAGGCAGGUGGAUGGCUACUCGCAGGAGAACUCUUUGUCAAUUGCUUCUUGGAGUGAACUUCUAAGAGCUGAAUCAGUCCAGUUCUUGGCAAAAGUUGAAGUGCGACCCUUAAGAACUCAUCUGUGAUAACACUUGGGAAUGGAACAGAAGAGCGCAGCAACAGCUGUUUGGGUCCAUGCCGACAACAUAACCACCCUGAGAAGUACCAAAUAUGGCUUUCAAUCC
rnacentral:lncRNA from 1 species